GCAUUCCAAGCACAAACCCAGAGAAUGGAUCAGAAGCAUCCCUCGGUGAGAAGGACUUGGGCUGUUGGUGGGUGAGAGGCUCAACCUGCCCCGGCCACGGGCACUGAGCCCAGGAACCCCCCUGUGCUGGGCUGAGCCCCCAGCGUGGGCAGCAGGGGAGGGGGGAUUCUGCCCCUCUGCCCCUGUGCUCAGGUGAGACCCCACCUGCAGAGCUGCCCCAGCCCUGGGGAACAACAGCAGGAGGAUGUUGUGUCAGUCAGUGGUGUAUGGGUGGUGUGUGGCUGUGCUGGUUGCUGUUUUACAUGUGUGUGGCUUUCCGGUGGUACUGCUGAUGGUUGGGAUAUUUUCUUCCUGUUUCCAACAGUAUGCUUUGUGUUUACAUGUUGAACACUUUUCUGAAUAGGUGAGGUGUCUGAAAGAUGUCUGCUCACACGACCCACAUUGGUUGUACCCCUCAAAGGGGUUAACUUCAGAAAUUCCAGUCAUCCAGUCAUGAGCUAGGUGUUAGAGCAGUCAGGAGAUGCAUGUCCUCAGCAUCUGUGCAGGUGCUCCCCCAGCAGGUGCCUGCAAUUGGCCUGAGCUGUGGCAUGGCUUCAGGAAUGGAUCACUGACUGCUCUAUGCAGGCUGGACCCCAUCACAUUUCAGAGUGGCUGUGCUGGGCAGCAGCCCACCACAGAGGUCAGAGUUCAGCACUGGAUGUCAGUGUCGCUGCUACUGCCUGGAGGAUGUGGUGUGAGAAAAGGUGCAAUGCACUUCCAACCAGGUGAGCACUGGGCUGCUGAAGAAAGACUCUCUCCUGUGACAUCACAAUGCCUCAGGAUCUGCCUGAGAGCAAUAAAGAAUAUUUUUUCCUUGCUUUAUAGUUUAAACUCAUGCAUUUGAUAUUUGUAUCUUUGCUACUUACCUAGAUAUUAGAUAAACCUUUAAAAUAGCUUUUAAUAACAGUGCUGCAUAAAAAGGGUAAAAAGCAAAUGUGACUAAAUAAUUUCUCUUUAUAAAACGACAAGAUCUUCAUCUCUACAUUGCUUUAUUUUUUGAAGGUGUUACUCUGCUCAUUAGAAGAUACCUGCACUUCAAGGUUUGAUUUAUUUGAAGAGCUGAAUCUGAUAAUAAACUGAAGUCAGGACCAUGAUGUAGACCCA
rnacentral:lncRNA from 1 species